AGUGAACGCUGGCGGUAGGCCUAACACAUGCAAGUCGAACGGCAGCACAGUAAGAGCUUGCUCUUACGGGUGGCGAGUGGCGGACGGGUGAGGAAUACAUCGGAAUCUACUUUUUCGUGGGGGAUCACGUAGGGAAACUUACGCUAAUACCGCAUACGACCUACGGGUGAAAGCAGGGGAUCUUCGGACCUUGCGCGAUUGAAUGCGCCGAUGUCGGAUUAGCUAGUUGGCGGGGUAAAGGCCCACCAAGGCGACGAUCCGUAGCUGGUCUGAGAGGAUGAUCAGCCACACUAGAGCUGGGACACGGUCCAGACUCCUACGAGAGGCAGCAGUGGGGAAUAUGGGACAAUAGGCGCAAGCCUGAUCCAGCCAUACCGCGUGUGUGAAGAAGGCCUUCGGGUUGUAAAGCCCUUUUGUUGGGAAAGAAAAGCAGCAGGUUAAUACCCCGCUGUUCUGACGGUACCCAAAAAAGAAGCACCGGCUAACUUCGUG
rnacentral:rRNA from 1 species